rnacentral:rRNA from 1 species
AGAGUUUGAUCCUGGCUCAGAACGAACGCUGGCGGCGUGCUUAACACAUGCAAGUCGUACGCGAAACCGGGCUUCGGCCUGGGAGUAGAGUGGCGCACGGGUGAGUAACGCGUAGGUAAUCUUUCCCGAGGUUUGGAACAACUCGCCGAAAGGCGUGCUAAUUCCGAAUAGUAUCGCACGGAGAAGUCCGUGCGAUCAAAGGUGGCCUCUCCUUGGAAGCUACCGCCCUGGGGUGAGCCUGCGUCCCAUUAGUUUGUUGGUGGGGUAAUGGCCUACCAAGGCGAUGAUGGGUAGCUGGUCUGAGAGGAUGACCAGCCACACUGGAACUGACACACGGUCCAGACUCCUACGGGAGGCAGCAGUGAGGAAUAUUGCGCAAUGGGGGAAACCCUGACGCAGCGACGCCGCGUGGGUGAUGAAGGCCUUCGGGUCGUAAAGCCCUGUUGAGGGGGAAGAAUCCCUUGUGGAUGAAUAAUCGACAAGAAUGACGGUACCCCUCGAGGAAGCACCGGCUAACUCCGUGCCAGCAGCCGCGGUAAUACGGAGGGUGCAAGCGUUGUUCGGAAUCACUGGGCGUAAAGCGGGUGUAGGCGGUUCAUUAAGUCAGAUGUGAAAGCCCACGGCUUAACCGUGGAAGCGCAUCUGAAACUGGUGAACUCGAGUACUGGAGAGGGAAGUGGAAUUCCUGGUGUAGGAGUGAAAUCCGUAGAUAUCAGGAGGAACACCGGUGGCGAAGGCGACUUCCUGGACAGAUACUGACGCUGAGACCCGAAAGCGUGGGGAGCAAACAGGAUUAGAUACCCUGGUAGUCCACGCCCUAAACGAUGGGCACUAGGUGCAGGAGGUAUAAAACCCUUCUGUGCCGUAGCUAACGCAUUAAGUGCCCCGCCUGGGGAGUACGGCCGCAAGGUUGAAACUCAAAGGAAUUGACGGGGGCCCGCAC